rnacentral:rRNA from 1 species
UACGGAGGGGGCUAGCGUUGUUCGGAAUUACUGGGCGUAAAGCGCACGUAGGCGGCUUUGUAAGCUAGAGGUGAAAGCCCAGGGCUUAACCCUGGAAUUGCCUUUAAGACUGCAUCGCUAGAAUCGUGGAGAGGUAAGUGGAAUUCCGAGUGUAGAGGUGAAAUUCGUAGAUAUUCGGAAGAACACCAGUGGCGAAGGCGACUUACUGGACACGUAUUGACGCUGAGGUGCGAAAGCGUGGGGAGCAAACAGG